GGGUAGGCUACCUUACGUGCAAUAUCGAUCAAUUGAUUGCCAAAUGAUGUAAGCCCUAUGCCUUACAUAAAUGUUUGAUUUGAAUGUUUCUGUUCAUUAAUUAAUUAACCGAACCCAAUUAAUCACUCACUCUGUGCUCGUGGUCGGAGCCUGCGGCUGGUGCGUGUUUCCUCACGUGGCUGAACACACUGUUCCCAUUCUUGUUUACGUCUUCCCAACCACAUUCUUGGCGACGCGACUCAUUGCUGGAAGUGAACGCUUGCGAUGGAGUCGUCGUGGGGUUUAACUCCGUGUUGGAGCUGACUCGUUUAAAAGUGCACAGGCCGUACGUCCUGGAUCUGACGAAAGACUUCUUAUUAUGUCCAUUCUUGGUUUUAGAAAUAUUCCCAUGCUCAUCAUCACAAGCAGCAGGAGUUCGCUCCGGUUUCCCUCGAUGUUCAUCAUCCUUCUCGGUGGAUCGAGGCGAUCCGCGUCUUCUACAGUCCACUUUGGAAAAGUUGCUACCGUUUGUAAAGUUUGGGAAUUUAAAUCGCCUGAAAGAAUUCCUCACAUCCCCGGGAGAUCUCGGAGCAGGGGCGACUGUUUCCUCCGGCGACUCGGUUUCUCUUUUGGAAACGUUUAUUUCGACCACACACACAGCCCCCACCCUGGCGCGCACCCCUUCGAGAAAACCAGCAGAAGAAGGAGGGAGGAGGGCAGAGGGGACUCUUGAAGAAGAGUCUGCAAAGAUAGAAAAAAAAGAGAGACAGCGAGGGGAGCGAGAAGAAGAAGAAGAGGGGAGGUGGACAGCGCUGUUCCAGCUAUCCAAAGGGCUGACAUCGAGGAGAGGAAAGUAACCACCAGGAAAAAAAAAAAAAAGAAACUUUUGCAGUCUCGCCACUGAGAUGAUGAUCAGGGAGGGGAGGCUGGAUGUUCGAAGGGGAACGACAGCUCUAAAAUUGGACGGCAGGGCAGAUGAGGGAGCCUCGCUCUGGAUGAUCGCUCCACCGUGCCCCACCACAGCCCAAGGAUGAGGAGGUCAGGCUCUCAGCUCAACGGCCGGGGCUGUCGGAACGCCUCCCUGAGGAGUCCCCCUCCAGCACGCUCUUCCUGAUGCUUUAUAAGAGUGGUGUGAGAUUUAAGCUGCAGACCUUUGCCGGGAAAAUGGUAAACACCGUCUACAGGGACGAGGAAAGUGGCAUCCAAGACCGGGAGGGCAAGGAGGAAUCCAUCUUGGCCCUUCUGGGCAUCGUGGGCACCAUCCUCAACUUGGCGGUCAUCAUCUUCGUCUACCUGUACACUACGCUGUAGAUCUCCCGGUCCACACCCCUGGACCCCACUAUUAAUUAAAGCCCCCCUCCCAUGGUUUUCAUCUCUUCAGACUCUUCUUUUGUCAGUAUCUUUUACGGCACUGGCUCUCAGAAUGACCCUGGGACCAGCGCCUGAGAUGUUGGGCUUCCCCCGCGGCACGCGCGAGCUGAGACUACGUGAACGCCAUGUGGCGUGCAUCCACCUGCGCGGUUCCCAACGUGGGGUCUCGAGACUACCGGAGAGGGGGCUGGCAUUCCCGAUGGCUCCGUCGCCUCCCAAGAAUGCAUAUUGUAGAAUAUUGCUGGCUCGCUGUUUGAUUUCUACAUGACUGACGGAAGGAGAGAGAGAGCUUGGUUCUCCCGCCACAAACAAAACCCAGCUUUCACCAAGGUCCCGGCGAACCAGGAAUGGCGGGGAAAAACAGCUUGAUAGCUGUUGCUAUGGCAGCACGCGUUUGGCAGUGGUUGGACUCAAUAUGAGGAAAUUUAUAGUAUUUAAAGGUUAUGUAUGUUUUUCUGGAGGAAUUAAUCCAAAAGUUCUAAAUUACUGUUAAUAGCCAAAUUACCAUUUAUUAUGCUAUAAUACACACAACUAGUUUGAUGUAUUAUUUACUAUACAUUUUUUUUUUCUCUCAUGAUCAUAUAUGAAUAUUUGCAGGAUUGAUAUUGUCUGGACAAAUGUUAAGACAGUUUUCUUCCAUUUGGUCACAAUAGAAUCAUUAAUAUUAUUUUAAUGGCAGGCCUUAUUUUCUUAUAAUGGUACUGGGAAAAAAGUGCUGAGACUUAUUGCGAUGAAGACGUGAUAUGAGACAGAAUCCGAAGUUUCAAGUUGCAUGAGCGUAUUAACAUGUUAUUUUGUAAAUAUAAUUGUAUUUAGCUAAUCAUGGUCAUAUGAUUUAUUUUAAUUUGAUUAAAUUCAUUUUGGAAGGUGUAUUGAUAUUUAAAGACUUUGCAUUGUGGAUGUUUGCCUUAACAUUACAGGAAAUGUAUGUUUCCAAUAUGUGUACAAUUAUCAGGUUAAAACGACUUAAAGAAGGGUUUCUCUUAAGUAAAUGGCUCCGUAAAGUUUUCAACUUUCUGUCUUGAUAAACAAAUAUGUCUUGAUAAGUGACAUUAGCCUAUAACCAAAUGAGAAAGUACGGUAGUGGGAAUUAGCCUACAUAGAAGACCGACAUAGCGUAUUCACCACUUUUUCUUUCGUCUGUUGAAAGUCUAUAAUUUAACAACCCCAUGAUUUGAGAAAGUGCCUGAGAUCACAGUGUCUCAAAUUCACCUUUCGAAGAUGAAGUAGAAAAGCAUGCAAAUUGUUCUAGUCAAUCAUUGCUUUUCUAAUAUUAUGUCACUCACCAAGCAUCUAUUUCAAAUUGAAAGUCUCUCAAUUUCAUGUUUUUUGGAAAUGUUUGGUCUACUCAAUAUACCUUUGUCAGUGAAAUAUUAAAUCCCAAAUUAUAUACAAAUUACAAGGUAAAAGAAAGCUUAAUAAGCAAAGUCUUGCACAUCUAUUCAGACUUUGAUGUGAGGCUAUUAAGCCAACUUUAAUAAUUGUUUAACUUAUCCUUACAGAGCUCGUCACUCAAGUGUUUAGAUAUGGAAUUGAUGUGUAUUCUGGAUCUCUUUCAACUGAAUAGUUUAACGGAAUUACUCGAAUGUUGUCCGAUCUUUCGACCUUUUAUGUCCUUGGUAUGAAUCGUUUUUUCAAGAGAAUUACAAAAUAAAUGCUUUUGGGCAGAUCAAAUAUAUAAUGACUUAGUUAAAU
ensembl:lncRNA